GACGAACGCUGGCGGCGUGCCUAAUACAUGCAAGUUGAGCGCUGAAGGUUGGUACUUGUACCAACUGGAUGAGCAGCGAACGGGUGAGUAACGCGUGGGGAAUCUGCCUUUGAGCGGGGGACAACAUUUGGAAACGAAUGCUAAUACCGCAUAAAAACUUUAAACACAAGUUUUAAGUUUGAAAGAUGCAAUUGCAUCACUCAAAGAUGAUCCCGCGUUGUAUUAGCUAGUUGGUGAGGUAAAGGCUCACCAAGGCGAUGAUACAUAGCCGACCUGAGAGGGGGAUCGGCCACAUUGGGACGGAGACACGGCCCAAACUCCUACGGGAGGCAGCAGUAGGGAAUCUUCGGCAAUGGACGAAAGUCUGACCGAGCAACGCCGCGGGAGUGAAGAAGGGUUUCGGAUCGUAAAACUCGGUUGGUAGAGAAGAACGUUGGUGAGAGUGGAAAGCUCAUCAAGUGACGGUAACUACACAGAAAGGGACGGCUAACUACGUG
rnacentral:rRNA from 1 species